CCUCCUUAAACGCAAGCCGUCUGGCAAGCGCUCACAACGAAUUACUUGAUUGGUUUUUAUCUUCGGAUAAGGACUGAUUGUGCUCUUUAACAAUUUGGAUUUGUGAUAUUGAUUGAACGCUUUGUGAUGAAUGUGUUCAAUUGCGUUGUACAUGCUGUUCUCAAGCAGUAUGUAUAACAGUUAGUGUUUGUCAUUAUCAGCGACAAGCAUUAACAAGUUUAGGUAAUACACUGCGAGCCGACGUGAGUUGGUGAGCAACUGAUUUUCAAUUUAUGAAAACGUGUUUUUAUCGAGCGACUUAUCCGGUGGUCAUCUUCUUGGUCGAAGAUGACUAGGAAAUAAUCGAAAGAUUGUUUCUACAUCGAAAAAUCUUGAACAAAAGGGUGACCGUCAGAUCACCCGCAACUCAAACCAAUGAGUCUGCNCANGAAUUUUUUGUGUUGAUCGAGACGCCCGAAGCGCCGCAAGGAGGGAGUUGGCAUAAGGCCCAAUGACCGGACGGAACAAACGACGGCCAAC
rnacentral:misc_RNA from 1 species